UACGUAGGGUGCAGGCGUUAAUCGGAAUUACUGGGCGUAAAGCGUGCGCAGGCGGUUUCUUAAGUCAGAUGUGAAAGCCCCGGGCUUAACCUGGGAACUGCGUUUGAAACUGGGAGACUUGAGUGUGGCAGAGGGGGGGUGGAAUUCCACGUGUAGCAGUGAAAUGCGUAGAUAUGUGGAGGAACACCGAUGGCGAAGGCAGCCCCCUGGGUUAACACUGACGCUCGAUGCACGAAAGCGUGGGGAGCAAACAGG
rnacentral:rRNA from 1 species